GCGCCGGGCACGAAGCCUAAGCCCGAGUUUUCUCGUGCGAGGAGCAUCUGGCGGGGCCCGAAGCCUGAGCGGAGCAGUGUCGGGGCCGGUCCGAGCGCCGUGCGGAGAUGGGCGGUGCGGGCUUGGCGGGAACGCGACCGUGUGGAUAGGGCGGCUGUGCUCGUACUACGCGGGGUCAGCGGGUCGCGAUUGGCAGAUCCAUUGCCUUCCUCGUGCUGGCAUUGGUGGCGCCUGACGCCUCUCCGUCAGAUUCCCCUCCCUUGCCCCACAGUCGCUACCUCGGCUCGACAGACUCUAUCCGUGCUCUACAGUCCCUAUCCCGUUCCCGCAGACCCUAUCCCGGCCCACAGCCCCUGUACCACCCGUAAUCCCUUCCCCGGCCCACUGUUCCUACCUUGGCCCACAGUCCCUAUCCUGGUCUACAAAACCUCCCCAGCCUACAAUCUCUCCCCCAUCCCACAGACUGUACCCUGGCCUACAGUUCAUAUUCUGGCCCCACAGUCCCAAUUGCAAUCCUACAAUCACUAACCCAGCGCUAAAGUUGCUACCCCAACCCUACAGAGAUUUCAGCUGCAGUCCUAUUGUGACAUCAUAGUGAUGCUGGCUACAAUCCCACAAGGUUUAUUUCACCAGCUCCAUCUUUGCAUAUUCCCAUUGCUGCCAAGCGAAGCUUCUCCUUCUUGUGGAAGGAUCUUCACUGUGCUCCAGAUCUUUGAGGUUCCAACUUCAACUCUAGAAUGCAUAUUCCAAACCCAGCCUGAAGAACUUUAUUUCAGCUCCACUGCUUCAGCUUCAGUUCCACAUCUUCCCACCACUGCCAGGUGAAGUUCCAGAUCUUCCCACCUCUGCCAGGUGAAGAUGCUCCUGGAUCAGGGCUGGAUCUUCUUUUCACAUCCAGCUCUCUCAUGUUUCAGCUCCAGCUCUAGAAUCCACAUUUGAGCUCCAGCCUGUCACGGGUACAGAAGCGCCUUGUGUUGUUGGAUCGUUCUUCAGGGUAGCCGGUGACCGAGGCAGAAUUCCCCGCUCUCCUCCCCACUCCUCUCUGGUGGAAAGAACGUGUCUCCAUCAUAGACAUGGCACCGCCUGAGGGCAACGAGGUGUGGGCGUAGCACAUCCCACCCCUUCUACACAGCAGCCCUUUCCCGGGCAUACCGAAAUAUGAAUAUACUGAA